AACGAACGCUGGCGGCAGGCCUAACACAUGCAAGUCGAGCGAGGACUUCGGUCCUAGCGGCGGACGGGUGAGUAACGCGUGGGAACGUGCCCUUUGCUACGGAAUAGCCCCGGGAAACUGGGAGUAAUACCGUAUGUGCCCGAGAGGGGAAAGAUUUAUCGGCAAAGGAUCGGCCCGCGUUGGAUUAGGUAGUUGGUGGGGUAAUGGCCUACCAAGCCGACGAUCCAUAGCUGGUUUGAGAGGAUGAUCAGCCACACUGGGACUGAGACACGGCCCAGACUCCUACGGGAGGCAGCAGUGGGGAAUCUUAGACAAUGGGGGAAACCCUGAUCUAGCCAUGCCGCGUGAGCGAUGAAGGCCUUAGGGUUGUAAAGCUCUUUCAGUGGGGAAGAUAAUGACGGUACCCACAGAAGAAGCCCCGGCUAACUCCGUGCCAGCAGCCGCCGUAA
rnacentral:rRNA from 1 species